rnacentral:rRNA from 1 species
UAAGGAAUCUUCCACAAUGGACGAAAGUCUGAUGGAGCAAUACCGCGUGCAGGAAGACGCGUUUCGGCGUGUAAACUGCUUUUAUCACCGAUGAUUAUGACAGUAGGUGAAGAAUAAGGACCGGCUAACUACGUGCCAGCAGCCGCGGUAAUACGUAGGGUCCAAGCGUUAUCCGGAAUUACUGGGCGUAAAGCGUGCGCAGACGGUGAAACAGGUCAGAUGCGAAAUCCUGCGGCUCAACCGUAUGGACUGUGUCUGAAACCGUUUUACUAGAGGUCGGUAGAGGCAAGUGGAAUUUCUGGUGUAGGGGUGACAUCCGUAGAUAUCAGAAGGAACACCAAUGGCGAAGGCAGCUUGCUGGGCCGUACCUGACGUUCAUGCACGAAAGCGUGGGGAGCGA